rnacentral:lncRNA from 1 species
UGGGUUUUUUUUUUUUUUUUGGUAUAUAGUUUUCUCACCCACUGCUAACUUGGCUUCACACUUUAUUUUUUUAUACUAAAGCUCAUUAGUUUUACUUCCUUAGACUGUUUGUAUCACUCCUUGCUUAAGCCCAGUGAAACUGCCUGCCUUGUCAAAAGGUGUACAGAAAACAAUGACAUUUCUGUUUGAAAUCAUUGCUAGACAUACCAUACUAUUAACAAAAGGUAAAGAUAAGAAAAAGGAGAUCAUUUCUGGCAAGUUUAGAUCUCAGCUUUAAAAAAGUCAAACAUUAGCUUAUGCAAUGAAAGUUUCAAACUGCUGAAUUUAUAAUUUUAAUCUUUUUCAUUCAUCAUGGAAAGUGGAGGCAUAUUUAUCAAACUUACGUAUAUGCAUGUUCAUGUUGGUUUUUGCAUGUCUGAUAAAAACCAAAUAAUCUCUUUUAAGAUGAUCUAAGUCCUUUAAAAUUUUGUUCUUGAAUAAGAAAACUUAGGUCCCUCAAUCUUCUUUAUUUCAAUAGAAGAAUAAUGGUAUGUACUUUUUAUCCAGCAGAAAUAAGCCUAUCCAGUUAAAAUAUUAAGUUAAGCUCGUAUGCUUUGAAAAUGAACUAACAGGAUCAUAAAGAAAACAAAUGCUGCUGUUUCUAAACCAAAGUUUAUAAUGCAUAAAAUAGGAGUUUGUAGGGUUACAAAUUAAAGCUUUACCUUUGACACUUUAACACAAACACAAGAACAUUUAAGUUGUAUCUAUUUAUACAAUUAGGAUUGCAAUUAAAAAUAUUUAACUAGUAUAGCACAGGCAGCAACCAAUGGUAACAGGUACACAUUAUUUCCUUGUGUGCUGGUGCACACCAUUAGCUCUGCGUCAAUUGUUUUGCCAGCAGGUUACUAUAUUUCCUUGUUAUCAAACCAUGGCUUAAUAUUAUUUUCAAUAAAAUGAGUACUUUCACAAAUGAAAUCUUAUUCAGUUUUCCAUGUCAUCAACAGAAGAUGCUUUAACAAAAAUAUUUUCACGCCUAAUUAAAUAGUCAUAAUUCUAGGAUAGCAUAAUCUACAAGGUCAUUAUUAGACUGACCUGUGUGGAGGAGCAAUCCAAAUUUGAGGUGUUAUAUAGAUCUG